ensembl:snRNA U1 U1 spliceosomal RNA
AUAUUUACCUGGCAGGAAAGAGGCCAUGAUCGGGCGGGUGGUUUUCCAAGGCUGAAUUUGGUCUAUUGCACUUCAGAUGUGCCAAUCCCUGCGAGUUCCCCAAAUGUGGGAACUUAACUGCAGGCUUGUGUUGUAGGGGGGCUGUGUUUGCACUCUCUCUUG